rnacentral:rRNA from 1 species
UACGGGGGGGGCAAGCGUUGUUCGGAAUUACUGGGCGUAAAGGGCUCGUAGGCGGCCAACUAAGUCAUACGUGAAAUCCCUCGGCUUAACCGGGGAACUGCGUCUGAUACUGGAUGGCUUGAGUUCGGGAGAGGGAUGCGGAAUUCCAGGUGUAGCGGUGGAAUGCGCAGAUAUCAGGAGGAACACCAAUAGCGAAGGCAGCUCGCUGGGACGGUACUGACGCUAAGGCGCGAAAGCGUGGGGAGCGAACAGG